rnacentral:rRNA from 1 species
CCUACGUGGGCAGCAGGGAGGAAUAUUGGGCAAUGGGGGCAACCCUGACCCAGCCAUGCCGCGUGAGUGAAGAAGGUCUUCGGAUUGUAAAGCUCUUUCGGACGUGACGAUGAUGACGGUAGCGUCUAAAGAAGCACCGGCAAACUUCGUGCCAGCAGCCGCGGUAAUACGAAGGGUGCGAGCGUUGUUCGGAAUUACUGGGCGUAAAGGGAGUGUAGGCGGAUAUGUAAGAGAGCGGUGAAAUGCCGGGGCUCAACCCCGGAACUGCCAUUAUGACUAUGUAUCGAGAGUAAUGGAGAGGAUAGCGGAAUACCCAGUGUAGAGGUGAAAUGCGUAGAUAUUAGGAGGAACACCAGUGGCGAAGGCGGCCUGCUGGACGACAACUGACGGUGAGGCGCGAAAGCGUGGGGAGCAAACAGGAUUAGAUACCCUGGUAGUC